ensembl:snRNA U1 U1 spliceosomal RNA
ACACUCACCUGGCAGGGGAGACACCAUGAUCACGAAGGUGGUUUGCCCAGGGUUAAGUCCACCCAUCAAAUUCCAGGUGGACUGACACCUGCAAUUUCCCCAAAUGCGGGAAACUGGCCUGCAUAAUUGGUGGGGUGAGUGGGGACUGUGUUUGCACGUUCCCCUA